rnacentral:rRNA from 1 species
CUUGCUAGGUGUCCUUAGUGGCGCACGGGUGAGUAACACGUGGGAACAUACCUCAUAGUACGGAAUAACUGCGGGAAACUGUAGCUAAUACCGUAUAUUCCAGCAAUGGGAAAGAUUUAUCGCUAUGAGAUUGGCCCGCGCAAGAUUAGUUUGUUGGUAAGGUAAUGGCUUACCAAGGCUACGAUCUUUAGCUGGUUUGAGAGGAUGAUCAGCCACACUGGGACUGAGACACGGCCCAGACUCCUACGGGAGGCAGCAGUAGGGAAUAUUGGACAAUGGGGGCAACCCUGAUCCAGCAAUGCAGCGUGAGUGACGAAGGCCUUAGGGUUGUAAAACUCUUUCAUCGGUGAGGAUAAUGACAGUAGCCGAAGAAGAAGGACCGGCUAAUU